AAAGUCGGUCUCAGUUCGGAUCGAAGUCUGCAACCCGACUUCGUGAAGCUGGAUUCGCUAGUAAUCGCAUAUCAGCCAUGAUGCGGUGAAUACGUUCCCGGGCCUUGUACACACCGCCCGUCAAACAAUGGAAGCCGGGGGUACCUGAAGUCUGUAACCGCAAGGAGCGGCCUAGGGUAAAACUGGUAACUGGUGUUAAGUCGUAACAAGGUAGCCGUACCGGAAGGUGUGGCUGGAACACCUCCUUU
rnacentral:rRNA from 1 species